UGGCAACGGGUGGGAGGCGGCGGCCGGGGCCGCGGCGGCGGCGGGAGGCGGCAGCCCGGGGGUGGCCGGGCCGGAACCGCCCGCUCCCCCGCCUGGUUGUCGCUGGGCCGCAACCGAGAGGGCGCCGUUGUUGUGGGGAGGCGGAGGGGCGAGGAUGAGCGGCUGGGGACUCUCGGCCUUCCUGAGGCGCAGAACUGCACAAAGGCCUCCGGAAUUGUGGAUGCACAGCAGAGACCGAGCAGGUCCUGUCAGCUUUUACAGGAGUUGAUUCAACCACUAGUGCAGCCAAAACCCAUCGUUGGACGGAGGGUGAAAGGAAAGCAGGGCUGAUAGUUUUCUGCAUGAGCCCCAUGUUAACAUCAGCUCACAGAGAAGUUCUGCAAAUACCAGCCCGAGGUGAAGCAGCAGGACGUGGCUUUCAGGGCCGCAUGGAAAGGUGUAUAAACCUCUUCCUUUUGACUGUCGUGAGCUCUUCAAAUUAUCUCAAGUAAUCUCAUUAAAAGGCAUACUUAGAUUGCAGCUCUGCUUAUGAACACUGGAGCAAAGCUGUGGGAAGCACUUUUACCUCUGAUUUUUUUUUUUCCAUCUGAAACUGAUAGAAUAAUCUUUAUUGUGUGGAGGCGUGACAGGGGAACUUGGCUGGCAUCUCAGUACACUUAAAUGCAAAGUCGCUCAUUUAACAGGUAAUGUUGCACUUGAGUCCUGUGGGAGAUUCUUGCUAGUAUUGAUUUGUAUAAUUACUGUUUUUACUGAUAAUUUUAAGAAUGAAUAAACAGCUUUUUAUCUUUAAAACAGACACACGCCAUCCAAAGAAUCCUCAAGCUAUUUCCUGAUACACCUCUGCAGGUAGCAGUGAGACUAAUAGCUACAGUGUCUCACCUUAACGUUCUUCAUGAGUCACCUUUUGCAGUAAGAAUACACCUUUUCCUCUAAGAAUACACCUUUUCCUCCACUCCCUUGACUCAAGCAACUCAUUUGAUUACAGAAAGUCACCUUGUUUCAAAAAAGCUGUAUUUUAGUGCUUGAAAAGUUAUUUUAGUCACCUCAGUUUGUCUUUCUUCUGCAGUUCUUAUGUAUAACUGUUUUCAUAUAAGUACAGCCCAUUAAAAAUGGCCAUACCUGCAGUUCUGUUUUUAGAUUAGUAAAUGCCAGUAUUCCAAUGAGAGCUGAUUGAGAAUGACACCAAGUCAAAGUUUUGGCUAUACUUUUAUUUACUUCACGUACUAUGAACAUAUACAUUACAUGCUACAAAAAAAAUAAAAAAAGACUUUAACUGUCAAGAAAGUGGAUAGUGUUAUAAUACAAUGGCACAUGUUCAUAUUUUUCUUCAAACUGGUCUGGUUAGAAUCCUUCCCCAAAACCAUUAACAAAAACAAAGUGUUUUAAGAUGAUUAGAAAUAUUUGCAUUAUUAACAAAUACAAUUCAAACAGAUUAACAAGAUUUAACCAGGUCAAAUAUUAGUAAAAAGGCUGGGGUUUACCAAAAUGAAAUAUAUAUUAAAAAACCAUAGCAGCCAGUUGUACUUUUUAGUGUGAUAUAAUGUGUAAAUGCACCAGAAGAACACAGUGUAAUUGAGCAUUCUGCUUUCACGGUGUAUUUCUAGAAAUGAUUAUUCUAGUUCUAACACCUGCCUAUGCACAAGAGACCAAAACCACAGCCAAGUAGAGACAAAAGAUUGUGACCGACAUUUUUAGCAAUGAUUUUUUGCACGCACGGGGGAGAAGGGAGGGAACAAAUAGAGGAUAAACAAAGGCCACAAAAGGAUUUAAUCUACACGUUCAUGAACAUAUGUUCUACCUAUUUUCCUUUAAGAACUUGAUAAGUUGAAAUGUCUAUUUCAUCCAACUGCAAACAUAUUCACUUCUAUCACCUAUGAAACAAAAUCACAUUUUGGCUUAGAACUAAAUAGUGGAAAACAGUUGCGUUAAUGUAUCAAUUGACUAAGAAAAAUUGCUUGACAAGAACUUAGGAUUCUAGUGCAACAGCAGCUAUUUAGACUCCUCUCGUUUCUUUAUUUUUCCCCUCUUUCAAAGUGUGCGAUUAUUCACAAUUUAUACAGUCUUAGAAAAACCCACAUCUACAAAAUUUGCAGGGUAUUUGCUAGUUAAUUCAAUUUACGUCUUUCGUAUUAAAAGGGCAAAAUUUGCAUAACAAUUUCUUGCAGCAAAAAGUUCUUUUGGUAUCUUAAAAUAAUUAGCGAUUGGAAAGGUACAAACAUAUGGGCUUUCAUUAAUUGCAAUUAGAAAAAAUACUUCAGAACAAACCGUGUUACUCUAAGAACACAUUCAUUGUAUUUCUUUUGCAAUACCUGAAGAAAAAUAUAAGCAUAUAUGGGCAACUGAUAAAUUCAGUAUUAAGUCUCUUAUUUAGGAAAAAAAAAAAACAGUCAUAGUAAAUAUCCAAGUCAGAAGAAAAAUACAAAAUAGCCUUAAAGAAACCAAUGUGUUACAGAACUUAGAGUUAGCUUCUCAAUUCUUUUCUUCCUCAAAGGGGAUUUUGUACUGAACUAGAAGAGAUCCCACAAUCACUGGCAUAUCACCCUAACGAGAAGAGCAACCCAAGCUAGAAGAGCACAGCAAUUCCUUUGUUACCGUCCUUCUGUCACCACUGUCACGUCUGUUUUCUAAUCACCUUCAGUAGUGCUUAGGAGGCCGGUGAUGGAAAAGCACAAUUAACGUUCACUGGCGUUAGUCUACAGAAUAUGAGUGUCCAUGACCUGAAAAUUAGUCAAGACUUGCUGAUGGAUUAGUUUUGAAGUAAAACAACUAGUACUUAAAUAGAACAGAAAUAUUAUCGUUUCCAGCAUGUUACAGAGUUCUGAGGUAAAGUGUUACCAGUAUUGUGUUGUACAGGUCGGUGCCUUGCAGCAACAGCCUUUGCAGGGGGAACAAGCCCUCGCAGCAUUUGCAACCGCUGAGCCAUUCUGCUCACAGGGUUCCUAUCAACCAAACCAAUAUUUUCCAUUUGAUACUAUUCAGAAAAAAACGGUUCUGUACGGAUUACACUGUAGUCAAAGUUACAACAUCUGUUUGCUUAAGUUUGGUCACCAGAGUGCUGUGUUUGGAAAACAAUCCAGGGUACAGGCAAGAGAUAGUUCCUUUAGUGUUUAAUUUCAGUUGACAAAACUUACUGAAUCCAUUCUGAUCUGUGUUAGAGAAAACUAGAUAAUUAGAAAAAGAGACCAAAAAAACCACAAUCAAGCAGUGCAUAAUACCAUCUAUUCAAUGCACUGAUUUUCAUUAUAAGCUAGGAAGCCAUAUUUACUCUAUUAUGCCUUUUGAGAAUCAAUCCAGAAGCACACAAGUAUUUUCCAUUAGUUUAUUAAAAAUAAAAUCCUCAUGAAUUCACUAUCAAAUAUUUUACAGAUGGGAAUUAAACCAGAAGAGUCCCCAGAGUAACUUUAAAGUAAAAGUAAUAUUUGGUUUGUCAGUUCACCAUGUUUGAAACUGAUUUAUACUGUAAGAGUAUUGUAUAAUAGGAGUAUUGAAGAAUUCUAGAAAAAUUAAACUGGCCCUAUAUAAUUUAGUUUUAUUGGAAAGCAGCGUCAAUAUUUUAGUAUAUUUAGUGAAUCACACACUGCUUUAAAGCUAUGCAUUAAAGUGCUAUGCACAUAUUUUUCAGCACUGAUAUGGAUGUUUAGACUUCCAUAAGCCUUAUAUUUGUGGGUAAAAGAGAUACUGGUGUGUUAAUAGAAAUUUUAAUUUAAAAUCAGCUGCUACGUUUGAAGCAUCAACAGUACUGAAGAAAUCAAUCUAGUGUCCACAAACUUCUAGAAUUCCGAAGCUGAUUUGAUCUGUCAUAUACCAUUAAAAUGGUAAGCAUUGUAUAUCGUAAGGCUGUCCCCAACAGGCUCUACAUAAACCUGUACUGUGCAUAGUUAACUGACCAUACAAAGCACGAUGCAGCCUUCCUAGGACAGAGAAUUCAGGAUUUAAAAAAAAACACAA